AGAGUUUGAUCCUGGCUCAGGACGAACGCUGGCGGCGUGCUUAACACAUGCAAGUCGAGCGGAAAGGCCACUUCGGUGGUACUCGAGCGGCGAACGGGUGAGUCACACGUGAGUUAUCUGCCCCUGGCUUUGGGAUAGCCACCGGAAACGGUGAUUAAUACCGGAUACGACAACUUCUCGCAUGGGAUGGUUGUGGAAAGUUUUUCGGCCAGGGAUGUGCUCGCGGCCUAUCAGCUUGAUGGUGAGGUAAUGGCUCACCAUGGCUUCGACGGGUAGCCGGCCUGAGAGGGUGACCGGUCACACUGGGACUGAGACACGGCCCAGACUCCUACGGGAGGCAGCAGUGGGGAAUAUUGGACAAUGGGCGGAAGCCUGAUCCAGCAACGCCGCGUGAGGGAUGACGGCCUUCGGGUUGUAAACCUCUUUCGCCUGUGACGAAGCGCAAGUGACGGUAACAGGUAAAGAAGCACCGGCCAACUACGUGCCAGCAGCCGCGGUAAUACGUAGGGUGCGAGCGUUGUCCGGAAUUAUUGGGCGUAAAGGGCUCGUAGGCGGUUUGUCGCGUCGGGAGUGAAAACCAGGUGCUUAACACCUGGCUUGCUUUCGAUACGGGCAGACUAGAGGUAUUCAGGGGAGAACGGAAUUCCUGGUGUAGCGGUGAAAUGCGCAGAUAUCAGGAGGAACACCGGUGGCGAAGGCGGUUCUCUGGGAAUGACCUGACGCUGAGGAGCGAAAGUGUGGGGAGCGAACAGGAUCGAUACCCUGGUAGUC
rnacentral:rRNA from 1 species